GAUAAACGCUGGCGGCGUGCCUAACACAUGCAAGUCGAACGAUCCCGCAAGGGAGAGUGGCGGAAGGGUGAGUAACACGUGGGAAUCUACCUCCUCGCAGGGAACAACCUCUCGAAAGAGAGGCUAAUACCCAAAGGGUCAGAAAUGAUCAGAGUCGAAAGGCGUGAGGAGAGGAGCCCGCGGCCCAUCAGCUAGUUGGUGAGGUAAUGGCUUACCAAGGCUACGACGGGUAGGGGAUCUGAGAGGAUGUCCCCCACACUGGAACUGAAACACGGUCCAGACGCCUACGGGUGGCAGCAGUGAGGAAUAUUGGACAAUGGGCGAAAGCCCGAUCCAGCAACGCCGCGUGGAGGAUGAAGGCCUUCGGGUCGUAAACUUCUUUAGAGGGAGACGAGAAAGGACGGUAUCCCUAGAAUAAGCGACGGCAAACUACGUGCCAGCAGCCG
rnacentral:rRNA from 1 species